CGGAUUGGUGGGAGCGGGGACGGCUGAGUAGCGUAGGAACGUACCCCAAGUGAGGGAUAAGCACCAGAAAUGGUGUCGUAAUACCGCAUGUGCUCUAAGGAGUAAGGCUUCGGGCUUUGGGAACGGCCUGCGUUUGAUUAGCUUGUUGGUGAGGUAAUGGCUCACCAAGGCGACGAUCAAUAGCUGGUCUGAGAGGAUGAUCAGCCAGACUGGGACCUGAGAACACGGUCCCAGAACUUCCAUACGGGGAAGGCAGCGGUCAGGGAAUUUUCCACAAUGGGCGAAAGCCUGAUGGAGCAACGCCGCGUGCAGGAUGAAUGCCUUAGGGUUGUAAACUGGCUUUUAUAUGUGACGAUAAUGACCGGUAGCAUAUGAAUAAGGAUCGGCUAACUCCGUGCCAGCAGCCGCGGUCAUACGGAGGAUCCGAGCGUUAUCCGGAAUUACUGGGCGUAAAGAGUUGCGUAGGUGGCAGAGUAAGCAAGCCAGUGAAAUCGUGUGGUCAACCAUACACCCAUUGCUUGAACUGGCUCAGCUAGAGGAUGAGAGAGGUUAUUGGAAUUCCCAGUGUAGGAGUGAAAUCCG
rnacentral:rRNA from 1 species